rnacentral:rRNA from 1 species
UAAACGCUGGCGGCGCACAUAAGACAUGCAAGUCGAACGGAAGCGUUACGAAAAUGGGAAUGAAGAUUUAUCUGAAUUGAAGUUUUGUAACAAUGGCUUUAGUGGCGGACUGGUGAGUAACACGUAAGCAAUCUACCUAUUAGAGGGGAAUAACAAUGAGAAAUCAUUGCUAAUACCGCAUAAGCUUGUAGUACCGCAUGGUACAGCAAGAAAAGGAGCAAUCCGCUAAUAGAUGAGCUUGCGGCUGAUUAGCUAGUUGGUGUGGUAACGGCAUACCAAGGCAACGAUCAGUAGCCGGGCUGAGAGGCUCUUCGGCCACAUUGGGACUGAGAUACGGCCCAGACUCCUACGGGAGGCAGCAGUCGGGAAUUUUGCGCAAUGGAGGAAACUCUGACGCAGUGACGCCGCGUAUAGGAAGAAGGUUUUCGGAUUGUAAACUAUUUUAGUCAGGGAAGAAAAAUGACAGUACCUGAAGAAUAAGCUCCGGCUAACUACGUG